rnacentral:rRNA from 1 species
AGAGUUUGAUCCUGGCUCAGAUUGAACGCUGGCGGCAUGCCUUACACAUGCAAGUCGAACGGCAGCAUGACGUGUAGCAAUACACGUUGAUGGCGAGUGGCGAACGGGUGAGUAAUAUAUCGGAACGUGCCCUGUAGCGGGGGAUAGCCCGGCGAAAGCCGGAUUAAUACCGCAUACGCUCUACGGAGGAAAGCGGGGGUCGCAAGACCUCGCACUAUAGGAGCGGCCGAUAUCGGAUUAGCUAGUUGGCGGGGUAAAAGCCCACCAAGGCGACGAUCCGUAGCUGGUCUGAGAGGAUGAUCAGCCACACUGGAACUGAGACACGGUCCAGACUCCUACGGGAGGCAGCAGUGGGGAAUUUUGGACAAUGGGCGCAAGCCUGAUCCAGCCAUGCCGCGUGAGUGAAGAAGGCCUUCGGGUUGUAAAGCUCUUUCGGCAGGAACGAAAUGGUUCGUGCUAACACCACGGACUGAUGACGGUACCUGAAGAAGAAGCACCGGCUAACUACGUGCCAGCAGCCGCGGUAAUAC